CGUAUUCUGCCGAGGAUGAGACUAAUGCAUGGCUCGAUACAUCACAAUUUAGAAGGGUUCUCUUUCUCCCUUGUUCAUCGCUGUUCUCCGCUACUCUUCUCUCUUUCUCUCUCUCUAAGACCAUCUCUCUCUUUUCUUCUUCAUUUUCCUCAACCACCCCAGAGCCCUUCUAUCUCUCUUAUUCUCCAUGACCGGCAACAUCAGGACCAAAACAUAUGGUGAAAAUUUUGGAAUCUCUUCCAGCAUUCUUGUGAGACUCUAAUUGGUCUGGAUAUGAAGCUACUAAACGCAUGAGACACAGAAAUCAUCUUAAUUGAUCUUGCAGGUGAAAUGUUAGAAAUCAGCUUCAGCACCUUAAUUAGAUUUUGCAAGUUUUCCUUGAUUCUUCGCUCUUUGUUCGUACAAUUCUACAAAGGUCACUUGUUCUCCCGCUUUUCCGUGAGUGCAGCUGUGGCAAUGGCCUCAGGAUUUUCUCUCGUAGGUGCAAAGGUUGAAUAUUUACUUCGACUCCAGAUUCAGGGAGUAAUGCUUCGUUUAGUACCCCAAUCAGCCUAAGCCCAAGCUUUGGCCUUUUAGCAUAGUUUAGCUUUAGAGAGAAUCGGCCACCCUUGAAGCUUUAUCAAGAUCAGAGCCUUGAAGCGUAUGACCCUGGAUACUAGAUUUUGCACUAACUGUAGCUAUUUGAUCUUUGCAUUACCUGCUAUAUAUGUAUAUAAGCUCUUGAUGCAUUAUAUCUCACGUGGAUGGUGUUAUCAUAAUAUUUUUGUUUGGUUUAAAAUCUUGUGUAACUGGAUGAGUUAUUUUGUGCCAA